CCCUUAGAUGUCCUGGGCCGCACGCGCGCUACACUGAUGCAUUCAACGAGUUUUACCUUGGCCGAGAGGCCUGGGCAAUCUUUUAAACCUGCAUCGUGAUAGGGAUAGAUUAUUGCAAUUUUUAAUCUUGAACGAGGAAUUCCUAGUAAACGCAAAUCAUCAAUUUGCAUUGAUUACGUCCCUGCCCUUUGUACACACCGCCCGUCGCACCUACCGAUUGGAUGGUCCGGUGAAGCCUCGGGAUUGUGGUUCUUGCCGCUUUAUUGUGGCGUGACCGCGAGAACUUGUCUAAACCUUAUCAUCUAGAGGAAGGUGAAGUCGUAACA
rnacentral:rRNA from 1 species